rnacentral:rRNA from 1 species
CAGUUUUAUUGGGCCUAAAGCGUCCGUAGCCGGUUUAAUAAGUCGUCUGGUCGAAAGUACCUGUAGCUUAACUGUGGGAAUUGCUGGAGAUACUAUUAGACUGAGACCGGGAGAGGUUAGAGGUACUCCAGGGUAGAGGUGAAAUUCUGUAAUCCUGGGAGGACCGCCUGUUGCGAAGGCGUCUAACUGGAACGGUUCUGACGGUGAGGGACGAAAGUUAGGGGCGCGAACCGGAUUAGAUACCCGGGUAGUCCUAACUGUAAACGAUGCGGACUUGGUGUUGGGUGGCUUUGAGCUGCUCCAGUGCCGAAGGGAAGCUGUUAAGUCCGCCGCCUGGGAAGUACGGUCGCAAGACUGAAACUUAAAGGAAUUGGCGGGGAGCACCACGAACGCGUGGAGCCUGCCGGUUUAAUUGGAUUCAACGCCGGACAUCUCACCAGAGGCGACAGCUGUAUGAUAGCCAGGUUGAUGACUUUGCUUGACUAGCUGAGAGGUGGUGCAUGG